UGGGGAAUUUUCCGCAAUGGGCGAAAGCCUGACGGAGCAACGCCGCGUGAGGGAGGAAGGCUUUUGGGUUGUAAACCUCUUUUCUCAAGGAAGAUAGUGACGGUACUUGAGGAAUCAGCAUCGGCUAACUCCGUGCCAGCAGCCGCGGUAAUACGGAGGAUGCAAGCGUUAUCCGGAAUAAUUGGGCGUAAAGCGUUCGUAGGUGGUUUUGUAAGUCUGCUGUUAAAGCGUGUAGCUCAACUACAUAUAGGGAGUGGAAACUACAAAACUUGAGUGCGUUCGGGGCAGAGGGAAUUCCUAGUGUAGCGGUGAAAUUCGUAGAUAUUCGGAGGAACACCAGUGGCGAAGGCGGCUCGCUGGCUCGAUCCUGACGCUGAGGCGCGAAAGUGUGGGGAGCAAACAGGAUUAGAUACCCCCGUAGUCC
rnacentral:rRNA from 1 species